rnacentral:rRNA from 1 species
GCGGGCGCAGCUACACAUGCAAGUCGAGCGGUAGCACAGAGAGCUUGCUCUCGGGUGACGAGCGGCGGACGGGUGAGUAAUGUCUGGGAAACUGCCUGAUGGAGGGGGAUAACUACUGGAAACGGUAGCUAAUACCGCAUAAUGUCGCAAGACCAAAGUGGGGGACCUUCGGGCCUCAUGCCAUCAGAUGUGCCCAGAUGGGAUUAGCUAGUAGGUGGGGUAACGGCUCACCUAGGCGACGAUCCCUAGCUGGUCUGAGAGGAUGACCAGCCACACUGGAACUGAGACACGGUCCAGACUCCUACGGGAGGCAGCAGUGGGGAAUAUUGCACAAUGGGCGCAAGCCUGAUGCAGCCAUGCCGCGUGUGUGAAGAAGGCCUUCGGGUUGUAACGCACUUUCAGCGGGGAGGAAGGAGAUGAGGUUCAUAACCUUGUUGAUUGACGUUACUCCAAGAAGA